rnacentral:rRNA from 2 species
UAGGGAAUCUUCGGCAAUGGGGGCAACCCUGACCGAGCAACGCCGCGUGAGUGAAGAAGGUUUUCGGAUCGUAAAGCUCUGUUGUAAGAGAAGAACGUGUGUGAGAGUGGAAAGUUCACACAGUGACGGUAACUUACCAGAAAGGGACGGCUAACUACGUG